UACGUAGGGUGCAAGCGUUAAUCGGAAUUACUGGGCGUAAAGCGUGCGCAGGCGGUGAUGUAAGACAGAUGUGAAAUCCCCGGGCUCAACCUGGGAACUGCAUUUGUGACUGCAUCGCUGGAGUGCGGCAGAGGGGGAUGGAAUUCCGCGUGUAGCAGUGGAAAUGCGUAGAUAUGCGGAGGAACACCGAUGGCGAAGGCAAUCCCCUGGGCCUGCACUGACGCUCAUGCACGAAAGCGUGGGGAGCAAACAGG
rnacentral:rRNA from 1 species